CCUACGGGUGACAGCAGUGGGGAAUAUUGCACAAUGGGGGAAACCCUGAUGCAGCGACGCCGCGUGAGUGAAGAAGUAUUUCUGUAUGUAAAGCUCUAUCAGCAGGGAAGAAAAUGACGGUACCUGUUUAAGAAGCCCCGUCUAAAUACGGGCCACCUGCCGCGGUGAAAAGUAGGGGGCAAGCGUUAUCCGGAUUGACUGGGUGUAAAGGGAGCAUAGAGGGCAGCACAAGUCUGGAGUUAAAUGCGUGGGCUUAAACCCGGAAGUGCUUGGGAAACUGUGAAGCUAGAGUGCAGGAGAGGUAAGUGGAAUGCGUGGUGUAGCGGUGAAAUGCGUAGAUAUUAGGAGGAACACCAGUGGCGAAGGCGGCUUACUGGAGUGUAACUGACGUUGAGGCUCGAAAGCGUGGGGAGCGAACAGGAUUAGAUACCCGGGUAGUC
rnacentral:rRNA from 1 species